UUGAACGCUGGCGGCAUGCCUUACACAUGCAAGUCGAACGGUAACAGGUCUUCGGAUGCUGACGAGUGGCGAACGGGUGAGUAAUACAUCGGAACGUGCCCGAUCGUGGGGGAUAACGCAGCGAAAGCUGUGCUAAUACCGCAUACGAUCUACGGAUGAAAGCGGGGGAUCGCAAGACCUCGCGCGGACGGAGCGGCCGAUGGCAGAUUAGGUAGUUGGUGGGAUAAAAGCUUACCAAGCCGACGAUCUGUAGCUGGUCUGAGAGGACGACCAGCCACACUGGGACUGAGACACGGCCCAGACUCCUACGGGAGGCAGCAGUGGGGAAUUUUGGACAAUGGGCGAAAGCCUGAUCCAGCCAUGCCGCGUGCAGGAUGAAGGCCUUCGGGUUGUAAACUGCUUUUGUACGGAACGAAAAAGUCUUCUCUAAUACAGGGGGCGAAUGACGGUACCGUAAGAAUAAGCACCGGCUAACUACGU
rnacentral:rRNA from 1 species